rnacentral:tRNA from 1 species
UAGAAUGUGGUGUAAUGAUGGUAGCACGAAGAUUUUU